rnacentral:lncRNA from 1 species
UAGAACAAAGGAGUUAAGUUGCUUUAUUGAUCGAAUUAAAGAAUAAAAUUUGGAUGAAUACAGAACUCAAACUCAUAAAUGUUGUUGAGGUUCAUAGUUUUGCAGUAGAAUGCUUAGAAAAAUCAAAAUCUCCAUGUUGAGGUUAUUAAUAUUGAAAGCACGUGUUGUUGUAUUCGACUCAAUUACUAAACUCGCAUGUUAACGCAUGACACAUGAUAAUAUCGGCAUAUUCAGUGAACCAGGUUGGUUCAUGAUCCCUUCCAAAGCGGACUCACACCUUAGACUCGGAGCUCACACGCCAAAUCGCUCGGCUAGGUUUUGAUAGCCAACUCCGGCCAAAAAACCAAUCGCGAGAAUGUGGUUUUUGAUUGACCCAACUCACAUUUUGACCUAGCACGAAAACCAAACACCAACAUGAAAUAAGAUAAACUAUUCAAAAUAUCUAGUUUUAUAUAAAAAUCUUAAUUUAAUGUCACGAGAAGCAUGUUCGCACUACUAAAGUUAAUUAGCACAGUUUCGAACAUUUAUAUAUGUAUAUUCUGCAGAACACCGACGACUCCAAUAAUGGUCACGACUCACGACCCAUGUGGAGUAAUAGUUUUCCUUCUUUUUUAACAUUUAUAAAUUUUAAUAUUUAUUUUCGAAAGGCUAACAAACGCAUGCGUACCUUUACAUGAAACAAAAAGAAAUUGUAGAAUAAUAUUGUUUGAACAUUUCUAGAUAUUCAUGUGCAUAUUGUUCAAAACUUGUGUAUGAUUGUAUCAUUGAUUGUUACAUAAGUAUUUGUUAAACAAAUAAAAACUAUACAACGUGGCUACGUAUCAAUCUAUGCUUAGCAAAGUCAACCAUGUAAAUUUUGUAAGUAUUACCUUACUCUAAGAAAAUAAAACCCUAAACGAACAGAUAGGCUUGCACCUGUAUAAUAUAUUAGACAUUACAAGUCUCUACAAUGUUGGUUUAUCAUUAACAAGGACUAAACAAUAUACUAUAAUCAUACAAUAAAUUAAGAGUCGUAAAUUAAUGGUAAACUCAACUAAUGCAUGAAUAGUUGUAAAAGUAUAUAUAUUUGGACACGUUACUCAACUUGCAUCGCGGAUCUGUAUUCCUUCCCAACCACUACGUACACGCAUUUCCCACGAG